UACGAAGGGGGCUAGCGUUGUUCGGAAUUACUGGGCGUAAAGCGUGCGCAGGCGGCCAUCCAAGUCAGUGGUGAAAGCCCGGAGCUCAACUCCGGAAUUGCCAUUGAAACUGUUUGGCUCGAGUACGAGAGAGGUGAGUGGAAUUCCCAGUGUAGAGGUGAAAUUUGUAGAUAUUGGGAAGAACACCGGUGGCGAAGGCGGCUCACUGGCUCGUAACUGACGCUCAUGCACGACAGCGUGGGGAUCAAACGGG
rnacentral:rRNA from 1 species